ACGGUAACAGGUCUUCGGAUGCUGACGAGUGGCGAACGGCUUGAGUAAUACAUCGGAACGUGCCUAGUAGUGGGGGAUAACUACUCGAAAGAGUGGCUAAUACCGCAUGAGAUCUACGGAUGAAAGCAGGGGAUCGCAAGACCUUGUGCUACUAGAGCGGCCGAUGGCAGAUUAGGUAGUUGGUGGGAUAAAAGCUUACCAAGCCGACGAUCUGUAGCUGGUCUGAGAGGACGAUCAGCCACACUGGGACUGAGACACGGCCCAGACUCCUACGGGAGGCAGCAGUGGGGAAUUUUGGACAAUGGGCGCAAGCCUGAUCCAGCAAUGCCGCGUGCAGGAUGAAGGCCUUCGGGUUGUAAACUGCUUUUGUACGGAACGAAAAGCCCUGGAUUAAUACCCUGGGGUCAUGACGGUACCGUAAGAAUAAGCACCGGCUAACUACGUGCCAGCAGCCGCGGUAAUACGUAGGGUGCGAGCGUUAAUCGGAAUUACUGGGCGUAAAGCGUGCGCAGGCGGUUUUGUAAGACAGAGGUGAAAUCCCCGGGCUCAACCUGGGAACUGCCUUUGUGACUGCAAGGCUAGAGUACGGCAGAGGGGGAUGGAAUUCCGCGUGUAGCAGUGAAAUGCGUAGAUAUGCGGAGGAACACCGAUGGCGAAGGCAAUCCCCUGGGC
rnacentral:rRNA from 1 species